UACCCUAAUUUCAAAUCCGCCUCUUUCCUCUUUCUUUUCUCUUUCUCAGUUAGUCUUCUCAGUUUCUCACUCCUCUCUUAGUCUUGUCUGAGUUCUUUCUCGAUCUCUCCUCUCUACUCCUUUUCUCGAUCUCCGACCACCUUCUCAGUGCCUCACUCAUCCACCAGAAGCAGCGGCGCCUCACUCAUCCAGGCCACCAGAAGCAGCGGCGCCCCUCACUCCUUCACCAGAAGCGGCGACGCCCCUCACUCCUUCACCAGAAGCGGCGCCCCUCACUCCUCCACCAAGAUGGAUGAUGCUACUGUAGAAUCUGCUAACGUAGCAAAUCAACCAACUGAAGAGGAGCCCUUGGCGUCAACCGCUGCCAAUGAGGAGCAUGCUGGAAUUGAAAAACCACCACAGCCACCAAAAAAAAAGGCCUUCAACCACUACAAGUCCAUUUUUUUAAUAGGAUAAUUAUUUUUAAUAGGAUAAUUACACAUCUAUUUUCUCUCUCUUUGUUCAGGUUGUGAGUAACAUGAGGAGAAAAUGGGUAAAAAAAAUUUCAAUUUUGCCAUUUAAAACAACUCUUAAUCAAAGUAGUCAGAUAUAGGAUAUCCGAUAUAUCCGAUCCGAAAAAUUCGGAUAUCCGGAUUUUGAUAUCCGAAUUUUUCGGAUCGGAUACAAAUAGCAAAUAUAAGUAUUCUCGGAUACUCGGAUCGGAUUUCGGAUCCGUGAUCAGGCCUAGUGGGGGGACCGUUUGGGCGCUAACACGGAAAGGGGUGGUAGUAAGAUUCCAAGACAGCGCUGAUGGGGAAAAAGGGAGGUUAGACGGUGGCAGUGAGGGUGGCUGAAGAUGGAGCGGUGGCUGGGGAAGGAGGGGUGGCUGACUGGCUGGAAAGUGGCAGUGAGGUGGUCAGCUAGACAGUGGUUGGGCCCCACUAACGGAAUUAUUAACGGCAUAAGGCAGCUGGUAGUGAUAUCUAUAAUUUUGAGAUUUGGGUGAUAAAAAAAUAAAAUAUAAAAGUAAAUAAGUAGCAAAUGUCAAACAUGGUCCUUUAAGUGGUAUCAAAUAUCAAAAUUUCCAAUGUUAAAAAAUUUACAUGAAAUCUCCUCUCUCUAAAACCCUAGCCUCUGUUGGUCUUAUUUGAUUUCUCUAAAUGUCUAGUUUAUUAUUUCUCCAUUGAAAAAAAAAACAUGCUAAAGAAUUUACAUGAAA